AUUCCAAGCACUGCAAUGUCCCCAAUUUCUCGGAACCCUCACAUCACCCCUGAGUUUCUUCCAACAAAUUCAGAGAGACCGCCUCCUCUCCAAGUGUUUGGCAGUAUUUCCCAAGAACACCACCAGCAGAUAUUUCUAGUCUGCACCUCGGGGAAGGGCGUGGCGGCUCAGCCUCCACCAGAGAGGAGGGGGCAAUAAUUGGAUUGGAUCGCUCCAGAAACCCAUCAGCUGCUCUUCUCUGGGGACAGGGGCUUGUGCGGGAGGCUGCAGACGGUCUUUGUGAUAGGUCUCAGCCCCUCUCGCUCUGCUGCCCUGCCCUGACCUGGUGUGGCUGGGCCUGGUCGGCCUUCCCUGGUCUGGGACGCAGCGCAAGCUCCCUAUAGGCCAGAAGAAGCAGGCGUCCACCAUGUAAUCAGCAGAAUGGAAUUCGGCUCUGAUGGACAAUGUGGGUGAUGGGUGGGGAGAUCUGACCGG